GAACGCUGGCGGCAUGCCUUACACAUGCAAGUCGAACGGCAGCACGGGAGCAAUCCUGGUGGCGAGUGGCGAACGGGUGAGUAAUAUAUCGGAACGUGCCCAGUCGUGGGGGAUAACGUAGCGAAAGCUACGCUAAUACCGCAUACGAUCUAUGGAUGAAAGCGGGGGAUCGCAAGACCUCGCGCGAUUGGAGCGGCCGAUAUCAGAUUAGGUAGUUGGUGAGGUAAAGGCUCACCAAGCCGACGAUCUGUAGCUGGUCUGAGAGGACGACCAGCCACACUGGGACUGAGACACGGCCCAGACUCCUACGGGAGGCAGCAGUGGGGAAUUUUGGACAAUGGGCGCAAGCCUGAUCCAGCAAUGCCGCGUGCAGGAUGAAGGCCUCGGGUUGUAAACUGCUUUUGUACGGAACGAAACGGUGAGCUCUAAUACAGUUUGCUAAUGACGGUACCGUAAGAAUAAGCACCGGCUAACUACGUG
rnacentral:rRNA from 1 species